rnacentral:rRNA from 1 species
GACGAACGCUGGCGGCGUGCCUAAUACAUGCAAGUAGAACGCUGAAGGAGGAGCUUGCUUCUCUGGAUGAGUUGCGAACGGGUGAGUAACGCGUAGGUAACCUGCCUGGUAGCGGGGGAUAACUAUUGGAAACGAUAGCUAAUACCGCAUAAUAGCAGUUGUUGCAUGACAACUGUUUGAAAGGUGCAAUUGCACCACUACCAGAUGGACCUGCGUUGUAUUAGCUAGUUGGUGGGGUAACGGCUCACCAAGGCGACGAUACAUAGCCGACCUGAGAGGGUGAUCGGCCACACUGGGACUGAGACACGGCCCAGACUCCUACGGGAGGCAGCAGUAGGGAAUCUUCGGCAAUGGACGGAAGUCUGACCGAGCAACGCCGCGUGAGUGAAGAAGGUUUUCGGAUCGUAAAGCUCUGUUGUAAGAGAAGAACGAGUGUGAGAGUGGAAAGUUCACACUGUGACGGUAUCUUACCAGAAAGGGACGGCUAACUACGUG